GAGUUUGAUCGUGGCUCAGAACGAACGCUGGCGGCAGGCUUAACACAUGCAAGUCGAACGCCCCGCAAGGGGAGUGGCAGACGGGUGAGUAACACGUGGGAACGUGCCCUAAGGUUCGGAAUAUUCCCGGGAAACUGGGAGCAAUACCGAAUGUGACCGCAAGGUGAAAGAUUUAUCGCCUUAGGAUCGGCCCGCGUCGGAUUAGCUAGUUGGUGGGGUAAAAGCCUACCAAGGCGACGAUCCGUAGCUGGUCUGAGAGGACGACCAGCCACACUGGGACUGAGACACGGCCCAGACUCCUACGGGAGGCAGCAGUGGGGAAUCUUGGACAAUGGGCGCAAGCCUGAUCCAGCCAUGCCGCGUGCAGGAAGAAGGCUUUCUGAGUUGUAAACUGCUUUUGCCAGGGGAUAAAAUACGAAUGCGUCCGGAAUUGAAGGUACCUGGUGAAUAAGCCACGGCUAACUACGUGCCAGCAGCAGCCGCCGU
rnacentral:rRNA from 1 species